rnacentral:rRNA from 1 species
GAUGAACGCUGGCGGCGUGCCUAAUACAUGCAAGUCGAGCGAACGGACGAGAAGCUUGCUUCUCUGAUGUUAGCGGCGGACGGGUGAGUAACACGUGGAUAACCUACCUAUAAGACUGGGAUAACUUCGGGAAACCGGAGCUAAUACCGGAUAAUAUUUUGAACCGCAUGGUUCAAAAGUGAAAGACGGUCUUGCUGUCACUUAUAGAUGGAUCCGCGCUGCAUUAGCUAGUUGGUAAGGUAACGGCUUACCAAGGCAACGAUGCAUAGCCGACCUGAGAGGGUGAUCGGCCACACUGGAACUGAGACACGGUCCAGACUCCUACGGGAGGCAGCAGUAGGGAAUCUUCCGCAAUGGGCGAAAGCCUGACGGAGCAACGCUGCGUGAGUGAUGAAGGUCUUCGGAUCGUAAAACUCUGUUAUUAGGGAAGAACAUAUGUGUAAGUAACUGUGCACAUCUUGACGGUACCUAAUCAGAAAGCCACGGCUAACUACGUGCCAGCAGCCGCGGUAAUACGUAGGUGGCAAGCGUUAUCCGGAAUUAUUGGGCGUAAAGCGCGCGUAGGCGGUUUUUUAAGUCUGAUGUGAAAGCCCACGGCUCAACCGUGGAGGGUCAUUGGAAACUGGAAAACUGAGUGCAGAAGAGGAAAGUGGAAUUCCAUGUGUAGCGGUGAAAUGCGCAGAGAUGUGAAGGAACACCAGUGGCGAAGGCGACUUUCUGGUCUGUAACUGACGCUGAUGUGCGAAAGCGUGGGGAUCAAACAGGAUUAGAUACCCUGGUAGUCCACGCCGUAAACGAUGAGUGCUAAGUGUUAGGGGGUUUCCGCCCCUUAGUGCUGCAGCUAACGCAUUAAGCACUCCGCCUGGGGAGUACGACCGCAAGGUUGAAACUCAAAGGAAUUGACGGGGACCCGCACAAGCGGUGGAGCAUGUGGUUUAAUUCGAAGCAACGCGAAGAACCUUACCAAAUCUUGACAUCCUUUGACAACUCUAGAGAUAGAGCCUUCCCCUUCGGGGGACAAAGUGGCAGGUGGUGCAUGGUUGUCGUCAGCUCGUGUCGUGAGAUGUUGGGUUAAGUCCCGCAACGAGCGCAACCCUUAAGCUUAGUUGCCAUCAUUAAGUUGGGCACUCUAAGUUGACUGCCGGUGACAAACCGGAGGAAGGUGGGGAUGACGUCAAAUCAUCAUGCCCCUUAUGAUUUGGGCUACACACGUGCUACAAUGGACAAUACAAAGGGCAGCGAAACCGCGAGGUCAAGCAAAUCCCAUAAAGUUGUUCUCAGUUCGGAUUGUAGUCUGCAACUCGACUACAUGAAGCUGGAAUCGCUAGUAAUCGUAGAUCAGCAUGCUACGGUGAAUACGUUCCCGGGUCU